CAGCGCGGGAGCAAUCCUGGCGGCGAGUGGCGGACGGGUGAGUAAUGCAUCGGAACGUGCCCAGUGGUGGGGGAUAGCCCGGCGAAAGCCGGAUUAAUACCGCAUACGACCUACGGGUGAAAGCGGGGGACUCGCAAGGGCCUCGCGCCAUUGGAGCGGCCGAUGUCAGAUUAGGUUGUUGGUGAGGUAAAGGCUCACCAAGCCGACGAUCUGUAGCUGGUCUGAGAGGACGACCAGCCACACUGGGACUGAGACACGGCCCAGACUCCUACGGGAGGCAGCAGUGGGGAAUUUUGGACAAUGGGCGCAAGCCUGAUCCAGCCAUGCCGCGUGCGGGAAGAAGGCCUUCGGGUUGUAAACCGCUUUCGUCGGGGAAGAAAUCUUCUGGGCUAAUACCCGCAGGAGGAUGACGGUACCCGAAGAAUAAGCACCGGCUAACUACGUGCCAGCAGCCGCGGUAAUACGUAGGGUGCAAGCGUUAAUCGGAAUUACUGGGCGUAAAGCGUGCGCAGGCGGUUGUGCAAGACAGAUGUGAAAUCCCCGGGCUCAACCUGGGAACUGCAUUUGUGACUGCACGGCUGGAGUGCGGCAGAGGGGGAUGGAAUUCCGCG
rnacentral:rRNA from 1 species